UAGUGUUACAGCUCUUUUAGAAUUUGUCUAGUUACAU
ensembl:snRNA U7 U7 small nuclear RNA